CACAAAAGGAACACAGUGCAGUAAUCGGGAGAACUCUCGCUCGUACUCUGCCACAGUCCUGUCCCCCUGCCUCAGAUUUCUCAGAUCCCUUUCCAUCUGUCUCUUUACACUCUGCGGAAAGUAAGUAGUCAACAGUAAGUUCUUGAACCUCGCCCAGGUGAUAGCGGACAAAUCAGCACGAGGAUCCUCACGGAUAUCUACCCACCACCUGUAAGCCUCGCCAUCAAGGUGGUGUGUCGCAAACCAAACUCGGUACCGCUCCUCAACAAAGGUGUCAUAGAAUAGUUUCUCCAUGUGCAUUAACCAUUUCUCGACCACCCAGUGAUCUGCUUUCUCCCCGUCAAAGAUACGAGAGGUACAAUGACGGAAUUCAUUCA
rnacentral:lncRNA from 1 species